GUUGAAUAGUGCAAGGGAGUAGUGCACGUGCUCGUGGGAAUAGUGCUUGGUAUAAAGUCGGUGUUUGGCGUUUUGUAGUUUUUUUCACAAUGGCUGAGGAAUAUAAUUUAAAAUCACUCGGUAAGGCGUUAAAAAAUAAAAUUUAUAUUAAACAUAUAUCUUUCUUUACCAGCCCUCCCUUAAAUAUACAUACAAUUUGUAAUGGAAAUACAUAUUUUAGAAAUAUGCGGUAUUAAUAAAUAAAUAAUAAAUAAACUUGUAAAAAUUA